rnacentral:rRNA from 1 species
GACAGAGGUGCCGAGCGUUAGGCGGAAUCACUGGGCUUAAAGCGUGUGUAGGCGGACUUCUAAGUACCUUGUGAAAUCCCACGGCUUAACCGUGGAACUGCUUGGUAUACUGGUUGUCUUGGGCCAUCUAGGGGCUACUGGAACAAACGGUGGAGCGGUGAAAUGCGUAGAGAUCGGGAGGAACACCAGUGGCGAAGGCGGCUACCUGGACCAGCACUGACACUGAAGCACGAAAGCGUGGGGAGCAAACAGG